rnacentral:lncRNA from 1 species
UUGCUGGUUCUGCUGAGGGAGCAAUUGUCGAGGACGAGAGACACCAAGAUGGUAGAGCAACUCAAUUAGACACAAAAGAUGAGGAAGGUAAUGAUAAUCAAAAGAAGGAUAACAAGAAUACCCAGCCUAUAAUAGAUCAAAAUACGACUAGUACAUCUGAUUCUACUGCCCCGGCACCUAAUGCUCUGGCACCAAAUGUCCCAGCACCUAAUGCUCCGGCACCGGCACCUAGUACAUCUGAUUCUAAUGCCCCGGCACCUAAUGCUCCUGCACCAAAUGUCCCAGCACCUAGUGCCCCUGCAUUUAGUGUUUCGGAGGCAUUUGAUGCCUUAACAGGGAUGGAUGAUUCCACUCAAAUGGCAGUUAACAAUGUUUUUGGGGUUUUAGAAAAUAUGAUAACUCAAUUGGAGGAGAGUUCUGAACAUGAAAAUGAAGAGAAG